GUGCCAGCCGCCGCGGUAAUACGUAGGGUGCAGGCGUUAAUCGGAAUUACUGGGCGUAAAGCGUGCGCAGGCGGUUUGCUAAGAGAGAUGUGAAAUCCCCGGGCUUAACCUGGGAACUGCGUUUCUAACUGGCAAGCUUGAGUGCGGCAGAGGGGGGUGGAAUUCCACGUGUAGCAGUGAAAUGCGUAGAGAUGUGGAGGAACACCGAUGGCGAAGGCAGCCCCCUGGGUCGACACUGACGCUCAUGCACGAAAGCGUGGGGAGCAAACAGGAUUAGAAACCCGAGUAGUCC
rnacentral:rRNA from 1 species